rnacentral:rRNA from 1 species
AUUGAACGCUGGCGGCAGGCCUAACACAUGCCAGUCGAACGGUAACAGGGAUCAGCUUGCUGAUUCGCUGACGAGUGGCGGACGGGUGAGUAAUGUCUGGGAAACUGCCUGAUGGAGGGGGAUAACUACUGGAAACGGUAGCUAAUACCGCAUAACGUCGCAAGACCAAAGAGGGGGACCUUCGGGCCUCUUGCCAUCGGAUGUGCCCAGAUGGGAUUAGCUAGUAGGUGGGGUAACGGCUCACCUAGGCGACGAUCCCUAGCUGGUCUGAGAGGAUGACCACCCACACUGGAACUGAGACACGGUCCAGACUCCUACGGGAGGCAGCAGUGGGGAAUAUUGCACAAUGGGCGCAAGCCUGAUGCAGCCAUGCCGCGUGUAUGAAGAAGGCCUUCGGGUUGUAAAGUACUUUCAGCGGGGAGGAAGGGAGUAAAGUUAAUACCUUUGCUCAUUGACGUUACCCGCAGAAGAAGCACCGGCUAACUCCGUG